CCAGAGAGCAGAUUUUGCAAAGGAAAAGUUCUUGUGAUAAGGCAUGUAGGCUCCAGGUCAUUUGGAAAAAAAUCCUUAGGACAGUAAUGAUGACCCUCUUAGAGGUGGAGUGCUGGACCCUCCACACUACCCCUUAGACUGAGUGCUAUGUGACCCCCCCAGACCAAGUAUUAUGCCCCAGCACCCACCUUAACAUCUGCCCCCUCCUCACCACAAACAGGGGAGAGAGGAAGCAUUCCCAUUGGCUGUGGGGCAGAGGGACAGGUGAAGUGAGGAAUGUUCUCAGGCCCAUGGAGAGGGGGAAGGGAACAUCUCCACUGCAAGUCCCUCUGACUUUCUAAUAAUGAACUCUGGUGAGCUACUACAGGCAUGCCCACAGAGAGGGUCUGCAUGCCCUCUUUGGCACCAGUGCCAUAGGUUUACCAUCACUGCCUUAGGGCUUAUAUCACAGAUCACAUAAGGCCCUAAUACUGUAAUUCAGUACCAUAAAGAAGCCCAACUAAUUGACAUGUGGAGGCAGUUAGAAAGAAAUAUUUAAGAGUUCUAAGGAUCAUACCCAUUUUAUUCUUGUUUUACUUAAAGACAUGGGGAGAAAUAAGAAUUUAAUUGCUGGGCACUUAAGAUCAGUCCUUGAGGGACUAUUUGUAUAGAGUAUAUUAAAGGAAAAUAAGAUGAGUCAUGUAUUACCUGAUCAGAACAAACUUCCUGGGUCCUUCUUGUUGAUAUCUAUAUGUAUGUUUCUCCUGUGGUGCUUAUAUUUUUCAGGAGAUUCUUGUGAACUGGGACAUGCUACCAUGGUAAAGACUUUUUUUUUUUUAGUUAAGAGUAUAAGGACUGCACCAUUGGACAAAAAAGCAAGUAACCUCACACAGAAAGAACCUCAUGAUUGGCUGGACUACACAAAAUUGUAUUGGCUGUACCUGAGGAAGCUGAGCCCUUCUCCUCAGUGUGAAUGCUGUGACAGGGAACUUUUGAGAUGGAAAUAAAACAGAAAAAAAUAUCCUAAAGGGAAAUAGUGGAACACCUCUAAACUCAGUUCCCUUUCAACUCUCAGCAGAACAAAAAGAAUAUGGGAACUUAAAAGAGUCUUACAUUUGCUCAAUGAAGUCCUUUUUGUAAUUCAAAGGACUGGGAGAAAUGAUUUCCCAGUAUAAACAGGCAAAGGUAAAGCUACUCUCUCAAAUAGCCAUUGAAAAAAAAGAGGACAUACCUCUUCCAAAGGUUUGUGAUAAUAUUUAUGAUAAUGGCCAUAUUCAUCAGAAGAGUAUUGUUUCUUGAAAUAUAAAUGAAAGGUCUGUUCAAAUGUGAUUCAUGACAUCAUUUAACAUGUCAGAUUUUUAUUCCUCGAAAAAUCUGGGAAAGGAAAAUGAAUCCAGCUUGAAGAGCCAAGAAAUGAUGUGUUUUUACACUUUGGGGAAGUGUAAAAAUGACAGAACCUGUAGGGUAAUCUUUCUGAGAGACCAGAUGACCUGAAGAAUAAUAUAGACAGAUUGUACUAAGGGGAGAGAGAUGGAAGAAACACAAAAACCAAAACCAAAAUCUUUACUGUAAAAGAGAUAGUUGAGAACUUUGAAAUAAAAAUUCAGAUUCUUAAGUCUUGAAUAUCUUU
ensembl:lncRNA